GAGGGAUCAUUACAGAGUUGCAAAACUCCCACAAACCAUCGCGAAUCUUACCCGUACGGUUGCCUCGGCGCUGGCGGUCCGGAAGGCCCUCGGGCCCCCGGAUCCUCGGGUCUCCCGCUCGCGGGAGGCUGCCCGCCGGAGUGCCGAAACCAAACUCUUGAUAUUUUAUGUCUCUCUGAGUAAACUUUUAAAUAAGUCAAAACUUUCAACAACGGAUCUCUUGGUUCUGGCAUCGAUGAAGAACGCAGCGAAAUGCGAUAAGUAAUGUGAAUUGCAGAAUUCAGUGAAUCAUCGAAUCUUUGAACGCACAUUGCGCCCGCCAGUAUUCUGGCGGGCAUGCCUGUCCGAGCGUCAUUUCAACCAUCAAGCUCUGCUUGCGUUGGGGAUCCGCGGCUGCCCGCGGUCCCUCAAAAACAGUGGCGGGCUCGCUAGUCACACCGAGCGUAGUAACUCUACAUCGCUAUGGUCGUGCGGCGGGUUCUUGCCGUAAAACCCCCCAACUUCUAAGGUUGACCUCGGAUCAGGUAGGAAUACCCGCUGAACUUAAGC
rnacentral:rRNA from 1 species